UGACCUUUGACCUCAGAUCAGGUAGGGUUACCCGCUGAACUUAAGCAUAUCAAUAAGCGGAGGAAAAGAAACUAACAAGGAUUCCCCUAGUAACUGCGAGUGAAGCGGGAAAAGCUCAAAUUUAGAAUCUGGCGGUCUCUGGCCGUCCGAGUUGUAGUCUGGAGAAGUGCUUUCCGCGCUGGACCAUGUACAAGUCUCUUGGAAUAGAGCGUCAUAGAGGGUGAGAAUCCCGUCUUUGACAUGGACUCCCAGUGCUUUGUGAUGCGCUCUCAAAGAGUCGAGUUGUUUGGGAAUGCAGCUCAAAAUGGGUGGUAAAUUCCAUCUAAAGCUAAAUAUUGGCGAGAGACCGAUAGCGAACAAGGUNCCGUGAGGGAAAGAUGAAAAGCACUUUGGAAAGAGAGUUAAACAGUACGUGAAAUUGCUGAAAGGGAAACACUUGAAGUCAGUCGUGUUGGCCAGGACUCAGCCUUGCUUUNGCUUGGUGCAUUUUCUGGUUGACGGGCCAGUAUCGAUUUUGNCCGCUGGAGAAAGGUUGGGGGAAUGUGGCACCCUCGGGUGUGUUAUAGCCCUCAGUCACAUACAGCGGUUGGGAUCGAGGACCGCAGCACGCCUUUAUGGCCGGGGUUCGCCCACGUUCGUGCUUAGGAUGCUGGCGUAAUGGCUUUAAAUGACCCGUCUUGAAACACGGACCAAGGAGUCUAACAUGCCUGCGAGUGUUUGGGUGGAAAACUCGAGCGCGCAAUGAAAGUGAAAGUUGAGAUCCCUGUCGUAGGGAGCACCGACGCCCGGACCUGAACUUAGGUGAUGGAUCUGCGGUAGAGCAUGUAUGUUGGGACCCGAAAGAUGGUGAACUAUGCCUGAAUAGGGUGAAGCCAGAGG
rnacentral:rRNA from 1 species